rnacentral:tRNA from 1 species
GCGCCCGUAGCUCAACUGGAUAGAGCAUUUGACUACGGAUCAAAAGGUUGAGGGUUCGAAUCCUUCCGGGCGUGCCA